AUGGUCGACCACGUCGUCGGCGCCACCACCACCUAUGCCCUUUAGAAGAAGAUCCGUGACUUCUUCCUCGCCAAUCGCGAUGCCCGAUACAUGAUCCUCAACCGGCAAUAUCGCAACCUCAAGCAAGGUGAUCUCCCCGUGGCCGAAUAUGCGCGCCGCAUGAAGCUCCUCACCGAUGGCCUCGCCGACAUCGACCACGCCGUCACUGAGACCGACCUCACCACUCAGUUUCUCCACGGCCUUGACAAGCGCCUCGAUACCAUCCGCGUCGUCCUCGGUGACCAGGGCCUCCCGUUCGACACCGUCCUCUCACGGGUGGUUCUGGCCGAGGAAUCUCAGGCGCAGCGCGCCGCCGAAGAGAGCGCUUCGGCCUUCGCUCUUCCUGGCGGUGACCGCGGCCCGGCCAGCGGCUCUGGCUUCGGCUUGCGCAGCUCCGGCGAUCGCGCCCCGAGCGGCUCCUACUCCGAUUGGCCUCCCUCCGACCGCGCCCCGGCCCCUCCCGCACAGCCGCACUCUGAUCGCGGUCGCGGUGACCGUGGCCGCGGCCAUGGCCGAGGUCGUGGCCGUGGACGCGGUGACUACUCUGCGCGCGGUCACCAGGUGUCCCUGUCGGCGCCCUUCACUGGGUACUUCGCCCUGUAUGGCAUGGCCCUCCCGUCGCCGCGCCCCGGUUGGGUUCCUCCCAACGCCGCCGGCGUCCUCGGGCCUCGUCCGGGUGCCCAUGUGUCGUGGAUCUAA
rnacentral:rRNA from 1 species